ACUGGGAGUUGUGGCGUGCUCCUGUAAUCCAGCUACUUGGAGGUCGGGUCUCGAGGAUGGUUUGAGUCCGGGAACCACUGUGGUUGGGUGUUUCUACGUUGACCAGGCGUCCGCACUAAGCUGAUCAUCAACAUGGUUGUUUCCGGGGAGCCGGAAAUGUCCAGGUUGCUAAGGAGGGGCGAACCGGGCCAGGGGGGAAACUCAGCAGCCAAAAGUCCCCGUGGUUUGCAGUAGUGGGAUCGCGCCAGUGAGUAGGGCCCCAGUUGCAGCCCGGACAAUACAAUCGGACCGAGAUCUGU
rnacentral:SRP_RNA from 13 species